rfam:Triticum aestivum genome assembly, contig: Triticum_aestivum_CS42_TGACv1_scaffold_527121_6DL
UAGAUACUCCCUCCGUCCGGAAAUACUUGUCAUCAAAAUGAAUAAAAGAAGAUGUAUUUAGAUGUAUUUUAGUUUUAAAUACACCCCUUUUUGUCCAUUUUGAUGUUUUCGAACGGAGAGAGUACAUC